AGAGUGAACGCUGGCGGUAGGCCUAACACAUGCAAGUCGAACGGCAGCACAGUGGUAGCAAUACCAUGGGUGGCGAGUGGCGGACGGGUGAGGAAUACAUCGGAAUCUACCUUUUCGUGGGGGAUAACGUAGGGAAACUUACGCUAAUACCGCAUACGCCCUUCGGGGGAAAGCCGGGGAUCGCAAGACCUGGCGCGGAUAGAUGAGCCGAUGUCGGAUUAGCUAGUUGGUGAGGUAAUGGCUCACCAAGGCGACGAUCCGUAGCUGGUCUGAGAGGAUGAUCAGCCACACUGGAACUGAGACACGGUCCAGACU
rnacentral:rRNA from 1 species